rnacentral:rRNA from 1 species
CGCGAGUACUGGUCCGGCCGGGUCUUUCCCUCUGUGGAACCCCAUGCCCUUCACUGGGUGUGGCGGGGAAACAGGACUUUUACUUUGAAAAAAUUAGAGUGCUCCAGGCAGGCCUAUGCUCGAAUAUAUUAGCAUGGAAUAAUAGAAUAGGACGUGUGGUUCUAUUUUGUUGGUUUCUAGGACCGCCGUAAUGAUUAAUAGGGACAGUCGGGGGCAUCAGUAUUCAAUUGUCAGAGGUGAAAUUCUUGGAUUUAUUGAAGACUAACUACUGCGAAAGCAUUUGCCAAGGAUGUUUUCAUUAAUCAGGAACGAAAGUUAGGGGAUCGAAAACGAUCAGAUACCGUUGUAGUCUUAACCAUAAACUAUGCCGACUCGGGAUCGGACGAUGUUAUUUUUUGACUCGUUCGGCACCGUACGAUAAAUCAAAGUGCUUGGGCUCCAGGGGGAGUAUGGUCGCAAGGCUGAAACUUAAAGAAAUUGACGGAAGGGCACCACCAGGGGUGGAGCCUGCGGCUUAAUUUGACUCAACACGGGGAAACUCACCAGGUCCAGACACAAUGAGGAUUGACAGAUUGAGAGCUCUUUCUUGAUUUUGUGGGUGGUGGUGCAUGGCCGUUCUUAGUUCGUGGGGUGACCUGUCUGCCUGAUCGCGAUAACGAACGAGACCUUAUCCUGCUAAAUAGCCCGUAUUGCUUUGGCAGUACGCUGGCUUCUUAGAGGGACUAUCGG